rnacentral:rRNA from 1 species
GAUGAACGCUGGCGGCGUGCCUAAUACAUGCAAGUCGAGCGAACAGACGAGGAGCUUGCUCCUCUGACGUUAGCGGCGGACGGGUGAGUAACACGUGGAUAACCUACCUAUAAGACUGGGAUAACUUCGGGAAACCGGAGCUAAUACCGGAUAACAUAUUGAACCGCAUGGUUCAAUAGUGAAAGACGGUUUUGCUGUCACUUAUAGAUGGAUCCGCGCCGCAUUAGCUAGUUGGUAAGGUAACGGCUUACCAAGGCAACGAUGCGUAGCCGACCUGAGAGGGUGAUCGGCCACACUGGAACUUAGACACGGUCCAGACUCCUACGGGAGGCAGCAGUAGGGAAUCUUCCGCAAUGGGCGAAAGCCUGACGGAGCAACGCCGCGUGAGUGAUGAAGGUCUUCGGAUCGUAAAACUCUGUUAUUAGGGAAGAACAAAUGUGUAAGUAACUAUGCACGUCUUGACGGUACCUAAUCAGAAAGCCACGGCUAACUACGUG